CCAGAAUCUUCGUCUUUUCUCGAUUUUUAGGCUCGAUUCUCUCAAAACUCUUCUCUUCAACAUGUUCCUUACACUUCAUGCUCCAAUAUCACUCAAUUCUGCAUCCAAACAGUCAAAACUACACCCAACCGUGAAAUCUCGAAAUAAUAGUAAAUGAACUUCAAACAAUAAUGAAACGGCUGUAAAAUCGACUUAAACUACAAAAUAUAAACCAUAAAAACCAUGCAAAAUGAGUGUUUAUCACACCGAUACAAGUCGGCGCAGACUAGACUAGAGGAAACCUGAUUCCAAGCACAACUACGAAAAUUCAAAGCUCUCUUUUCGUAGACUAGGGGGGAGUAGCUGAUGAGGAGUGAGGAUCCCAUCAGUCAUCCUAUCCUAAGCAAAGACAGCGGCGUCGACUUAGGGCCUUGAACAUACGCGACUUAAGAAGCAUGGAUACAUCACACGAUCGUCGAAAUAAUAUAGCGGCGCCGGCUAAUGUCGGCGCAGAUUAAGAAAGAAGCUGGUUUAAACUCCAGGCCCACUUGGCUCGAAAGAAGCAAGGUCAUAUCAUACAAAAUAAAGAUAGCGGCGCUGACGAAUGUCUGCGCAGACUAGAGAAGACAGCGCAGCAUUAAAGCAACAUCCGGAGAAGACCCAGGGAAAGAAAUAAGCUCGGAAAAUUCAGCGCAGAAAAGGAAUGGAAAUAACCAACAGUGAAAGCUUGGAAAGAGCACGUGUUCAACGAAAAGCUGCAAAGUAGUUAGAGAGUUUGUUAGAGGAAAGAGAAUCGUUCACGUACGCCGCAUGUGGAGUACGUAAACGACGUGUAAAGACCCUUAUACCCUUCGCCCUAAUGUAAUCCUAUAAAUAUACCUUGUAACUCAUUAUAUAGAACACGCAAUUUUACUCUAAGAAUUCUCAUCUGCAAGUUUUCAAGCAAGCUCCCUUUCAUACUGCGAUACAGGUUACUCCGACCUCCUUUUCUGGCUUGUUUAGAUAGGUUUGAAUGUUAGGCUUCACCAGCUAUCACCCAAGAUACAGAGUACUCAAGUUACUAUAUAACUCUCACUCAUAGUAAAUCAAAGUGAUACACGAAUUAACAUAUAUAUUCGAAAUCUUAUUAGUAUUAAGAUUUUAUUAAGUCACCGAGAUCUUGAUUCUUCACUUAAGUCAGAUAGAAUAAUACAUCUCACUGUGGUCCUAUCAAUACGUUAUGAUGUACCAGUAUAGACAAGUAGUCAAGACAAACUACUUCCAUCUAUACCGUAGCCGAAACCGAUGACUCGUCCUAAAGUCAUCUCGGCUGUGAUCAUAUUAUAUCUCUUAAGGUUAAUCCAAUUAUAUGGUCUUCUGUGAUCUACAACAUACUAUAUAGUCUACUUGUAUAGAGAUAGAGAACAUACAUAUGCAAUCAUGAACACAAUCAGAUAGGAGAUUGGAUAGUGAACUUAGGAAACAUUGUAUACAAGCAUAAAACGUUCUUGCUUUCAGUAUACAAAUCCAACACUCACGUGCUUCUAUAACUAAGAUCAUGUAUGAGAAACUUUAGUUCUGCGAGGUACCUGAAUCAUCACUAUUUAGUGGGUUUCCCAUGUUGUAAUAUAGCAUGUAUCACACUUGUUCAAGUGUUUUCCCAAAAUAUGCUUAUCAUGUGCUACAAAAAUUCUUAAGCACAAAUAUUAGUAACAUAGGAGAGCCCUUAAAGGCAGGGCCGUAAAUCAUAAAUCAUGUGGGUAAUGAACCCACAAUAGUUAAAGGUCCACUUACAUGCAGCAUGCGGUUCAACUAUCAAAGCAAUUAAUGAGCAGUUCCAUAUCAUUUAUUAAUAUAUGCAUUUGAUCAUGUUCACAUGUCUUGAAAAGAAAUAAAUAAUGCUAAAUUUCGACAAGCAAUAAUCAUUACCCUUAUUUAUUGAGGUUGCACUUAUAGAGCACUUAGUUCGUCUUCUGCUUUAUCGAGAAGUAUGAGCAAUUGUAAAUCAACAUAAUCAUCUUCUGCUUUAUCGAGAAUCCAAUCUAAUUAACUUCUACUUCGCAAAUUCCUCCCAACGAAACCCAAGAAUCCCAAAUCCCUCCAGUAAUUCACCACAACUAAACCAAAUUCUAUAAACAAGCAUGCAUGUUUGGCACAAUGCCCCCUAGUUUCAGAGUCAAGAAAGGCCAGCCAUACCUGGUAAUAAUAGAUGUGGACUCAUCCCGUUGAGGAUCACGUUUGGUAGCUGAUCAAGCGCUGCCGACAAAGGCAGCAGCUACACGCUAGUGAGUGGUGAGACACAGAUUUGUUCUUUAUCAUUUCCGCUGUCGUAAAUAAUGUCAUCUUCUGAUUUUGAUCUUCGGAGACUAUUUCACCGAUUCUGGUAAUGGCGCCGAUAACAUUGCCUGGUUAGGAUUCCAAUGUUGUUACCUUUCCAUCCAAAAAAAGAAAAAGAAAAUCAGAGCCUCAAAUUGGUAGAGAAAAUCACAAAAAUGAAUUUGAAUUUGAGGAAUUGAAAACAGGGGCAGAGCGGCGGCCGAGUUGGUGGAUUUCUCCCUUUCCGAAUGAGUAAUAUACGAUAGAUAUGCGCCGCUUUUCAGAAGAGGGCGGAGAUUCUUUUGGAGAGCAGUGGUGGAAACUGAUUUCCGGCGGAGAAUAUAGAGAGACGAGCGAGGGGCUUCGCAGAGCAGGAUCUGUAGAUUUUGGGAUUUUCACUGGUUUCUAUGGAGAUAGUGGUCGGGCGUUUCUUGUAUGAGAAUAGAGAAAGAACUUCUGAAAAUUUUCUUGUAUGAGCGAAUUGAGAGAACUUCAUCGAUUUUUGGGGGAAAUCGCUGGAAAUUGAAGAGAAAGAAAGAGAACAGGGAUGGAAGUCGUUGCACGGCGAUUGAACAGGAUGAUAAACUUGGACCUUCAGAGAUUUUUUUUUCAGUCGAACUAUGAGAGAUGAGGGUGGGCGUGAGG
rnacentral:lncRNA from 1 species